rnacentral:tRNA from 1 species
CCUAGACCGACGGGCCUUGAUCCCGUAAAAACCUAAUUAACAACUAGACGCGGAAGCCAGCGGGCCUCAGCCUA